UUCACGGACUACAUAAGUUGC
rnacentral:piRNA from 1 species